GACGAACGCUGGCGGCGUGCUUAACACAUGCAAGUCGAACGAAGCGGCCGACGGGUGAGUAAUGCCUAGGAAUCUGCCUGGUAGUGGGGGAUAACGUCCGGACACGGGCGCUCAUACCGCAUACUAUCAGAUGAGCCUAGGUCGGAUUAGGUAGUUGGGGGGGUAAAGGCCUGCCAAGGCGACGAUCCGUAACUGGUCUGGGAGGAUGAUCAGUCACACUGGAACGGAGACACGGUCCAGACUCCUACGGGAGGCAGCAGUGGGGAAUAUUGGACAAUGGGCGAAAGCCUGAUCCAGCCAUGCCGCGUGUGUGAAGAAGGUCUUCGGAUUGUAAAGCACUUUAAGUUGGGAGGCGGUACCAGCAGAAUAAGCACCGGCUAACUUCGUGCCAGCAGCCGCGGUAAUAC
rnacentral:rRNA from 1 species